rnacentral:rRNA from 1 species
UACGUAGGGGGCAAGCGUUGUCCGGAAUCAUUGGGCGUAAAGCGCGUGUAGGCGGCUCGAUAAGUCUGCUGUGAAAGUCCAGGGCUCAACCCUGGGAUGCCGGUGGAUACUGUCGAGCUCGAGUCCGGAAGAGGCGAGUGGAAUUCCUGGUGUAGCGGUGAAAUGCGUAGAUAUCAGGAGGAACACCGGUGGUGUAGACGGCUCUCUGGACCGUAACUGACGCUGAGGCACGAAAGCGUGGGUAGCAAACAGG